rnacentral:rRNA from 1 species
GGAUAACCUACCCUUAGGACCGGGAUAACCCUGGGAAACUGGGGAUAAUACUGGAUAGGCAAUUUUUCCUGUAAUGGUUUUUUGUUUAAAUGUUUUUUCGCCUAAGGAUGGGUCUGCGGCCGAUUAGGUAGUUGGUUAGGUAAUGGCUUACCAAGCCGUUGAUCGGUACGGGUUGUGAGAGCAAGAGCCCGGAGAUGGAACCUGAGACAAGGUUCCAGGCCCUACGGGGUGCAGCAGGCGCGAAACCUCCGCAAUGUGAGAAAUCGCGACGGGGGGAUCCCAAGUGCCAUUCUUAACGGGAUGGCUUUUCAUUAGUGUAAAGAGCUUUUGGAAUAAGAGCUGGGCAAGACCGGUGCCAGCCGCCGCGGUAACACCGGCAGCUCUAGUGGUAGCAAUUUUUAUUGGGCCUAAAGCGUCCGUAGCCGGUUUAAUAAGUCUCUGGUGAAAUCUUGCAGCUUAACUGU